CUCCAGCUGAUGGUUAUGGUAUUACAAGUUUGGAAGAGACCUUAAGAGAUGGUCCAGCUGCUCUUUGCCAGACGAAAUUAGUAUGAAUCAUAAUCUUCGAUGACUUGGUUUCAUGCUCCUAUCUCAUGAAUGCGGAAUCUGAAGUCCAGUGAACAUGGAUCAUUUGUGCAGAGUCACAAAGCAUGGAACUAGAAUUCCACAUUUCUCCCUGACUGCCCAGUGCCUGUGAGGAGGAUGAACCUUAUCUCUGGUUCAUUCUCUAGUUGGCAAGUCAAUCAAACUGUAAGAUGUGUCUAUUAUGUGGCCAAGCCCAAGUAUCUGCAGACACAGAGACUGGAAGCUCAUGCUUUCCUUUCAAACUGAGUCUGUUUUGUGCUGCUGUAACAGAAUGUCACAGACCGAGGAAUUAAUAAAGAACAGAAAUCUAUUCCACGUGGACCGGCAGGCUGGGCAGUGCGAGAUCAAGGUGUUGGCACCAGGCAGGGGCUCACUGCUGCAUCAUCUCAUGGUGGGGGCAAACGGGCGAAAAAGCACUCAGAGAGCAAAAACAGGCAAGAGGCAGCCAAACUCACUUUUAUCUGGAAUUGACUCCUGCAAUAACGACCUUAGUUCAUCCAUAAGGCAGAGCCCUGGAAGCCUCAUCUGCUCUUAAGGGUCCCACCCCUCAGCACUGUCACAUUGGAGAGGAAGUUUCCCACACAUGGACUUUGUCAGACACAUUUAAACGAUAGCAUUCAUCUUUAUUCCAAACACUUGCAAAGCAAACACCCCUCAAGCAGGCACCCAAGGCUCUCCUACUCCAUCCCAUCUUCCCCGGUUGCCUUCCCAUUUUAUCCUUAGAUAUUUUCAGGUCUUGAGCCAAACCAGAGGCAGAGACAUUGGGUUUGUGGAACUCCUCCCUAGCCUCCCCGUCCUCUGAGACGCCGCUCACAUGGUGUCUGCUCCGAAAGCCUCCGACCAUGGCCUCAGCCCCUUCUGUGGAUGCUGCGUCCAUUCCUUCCCACCAGUGCCUCCUCACUCCAAGAAGCCUUUCUGGAACCUGAAGCUGAGCAUAGCCUUGCCUGCUUCUGAGUCUUCUUGUAGUGGUGGUUUUGAAUCACUCUUAGGAUGAUUUUCUUCCGGGAUACUUGCAUCUCUUUUUAAAUUUAGGAAUUUGUCUUCAUCUCUGCCAAUAAAUUAUAAGAUCUGUACA
rnacentral:lncRNA from 13 species